CAUCAUUUUAAACUAUUUUCUGUUCCAUAGGUUGCCUUUUUAUUUUAUGAUUCCCUUUGCUAUGCAAAAGCUUCUAAGUUUGAUUAUGGUCCAUUGGUUUAUUUUUAUUUCUUGCUUUGGGAGAUUGACCUAAGAAAACAUUUGUACAGUUCAUGUCAGAGAAUGUUUUGCCCAUGUUCUCUUCUGAGAGUUUUAUGAUGUCUUGUCUUACAUUUAAGUCUUUAAGCCAUAUUGAGUUUGUUUUCAUGCAUGGUGUGAGGGUAUGUUCCAAUUUCAUUGAUUUACAUGCAGAUAUCCAGUUUUCCAACACCACUUGCUGAAGAGACUGUUUUUUUCUCAUUUUAUAUUCUUGCCUCCUCUGUCAAAGAUUAACUGACCACAGUGUCUGGCUUUAUUUCUGGGUUCACUAUUCUGUCCCUUGGGCCUGCAUGACAGUUUUUGUGCUAGUACCACACUGUCUUGAAUACUGUAGCUUUCUAACAUUGUCAGAAGUCAGGGAGAGUUAUGCCUUCUGCUUGGUUUUUGUUCCUCAGGAUUGCUUUGGCAAUUCUGGGUCUUUUCUAUGUCCAUAUAAAUUUUUGGACUGUUUGUUCUAGUCCUGCAAAAAAUGUCAUGGGUAAUUUGGUAGGGAUUGCAUUGAAUCUAUAGAUUGCUUUGGGUGGUAUGGCCAUUUUAAUGAUAUUAAUUCUUCCAAUCCAGGAGCAUGGAAUAGCUUUCCAUUUCUUUGAAUCCUAUAUAAUUUCCUUGAUUAGUAUUUAUAGUUCUCAGCAUAUAAGUCUUUUACCUCCUUAUUCAGGUUUAUUCCUAGGUAUUUAAUUUUGGGGGUGCAAUUUUAAAAGAACCCUGUAAACCAGCUAUAAUGGAAAAAAAUAAAAAUCAUUAUAUAAAAUAAAUAAAUCUUUCUACAUAUUAAUAAAAAAUAAAUAAGUAAACAAUGUGCAAAACAGGUAUUAUAUUUUUAUAUUCCUUUUCUAAUAUUUUAUUGUUAGUAUACAGAAAUGUGACUGAUUUCUGAACGUUAAUCUUGUAUCCUGCUACUCUGCUGAAUUCUUUGAUCAGCUCAGGUGGCUUUUGUGUGGAGUCCUUGGGGUUUUCUAUAUGUAGUAUCCUUUCAUCUUCAUAUACUGACAAAUUUACCUUUUCUCUUUUAAUUUGGAUACCUUUUAUUUCUUUUGUCAAAUUGCUAUGGCUAGGACUUCCAAUACUAUGUUGAAUAAAAGUGGUGAGAGUGGUCAUCCUUGUCUUGCUCCAGAUUUUAGUGGAAAGGUUUUCAGUUUUUCUCCAUUAAGUUUUACAUUUGCUGUGGGUUUGUCAUAAAUGGAUUUUAUUGUAUUAAGGUAUGUUCUCUCUGUACCAACUUUGGUAAGAUUUUUUAUUAUGAAUAUAUGUUAGAUUGUCCAGUGCUUUUUCUCCAUCUAUGGAGGUGAUUAUGUCAUUUCUCACUUUUGUUAAUGUGGUGUAUGACAUUGAUUUGCAUAUGUUGAACCACCCUUGUGAACUUGGGAUGAAUCCCACUUGGUUGUGAUGUGUGAUCAUUUUAAUAUGUUGUUGGAUUUGGUUUGCUAAAAUUUUGCUGAGAACUUUUGUGUCUAUAUUCAUCAAAGACAUUGGUCUAUAAUUUUCUUUUUAAGUAGUAUCUUUGUCUUGUUUGGGGAUCAAAGUGAUGGUGGCUUCAUGGAAUGUCUCUAUGUAGUCAUUUCUUUUCCUAUGGGAUUAUUCCUUUAUCUUCAACCUUCUGGAGAAGUUUAAGAAGGAUGGGUAUAAGUUCGCUGCAUGUUUCACAGAAUUCACCUGUGAAGCCAUCCUGGGCUUUCGUUUGUAGGGAGUGUUUUAAUUACAUAUUCAAUUGCAUUUCUAGUAAUUGGUCUGUUUGAUCUAUUUCUUCCUGAUUCAGUUUUUUCAGGCUGUACGUCUCUAAAAAGUUGUCCAUUUCUCCUAGGUUGUCAAAUUUCUUGGCAUAAAAUUGUUCAUAGUAUUUUCUUAUGGUUUUUUGUAUUUCUGCAGUAUCCGGUGAAAUUUAUCCUUUUUUAUUUCUUAAUUUUUUUUCUUUAGGGUCUUUCUCUCCUUUUCUUGGUGAGUCUAGCCAGAGGUUUAUCACUUUUAAUUACCCUUUCAAAGAACUAGGACUUGCUUUUAUUGAUUUUUUUUCUUUCCUUUUUUUUUAUCUGCUUUUUAGGCCACAUUUUUUUGGCAUACAGAGGUUCCCAGGCUAGGGGUUAAAUCAGAGCUAUGACUGCUGGCCUACACUCCAGCCACAGCAAUGCCAGAUCCAAGCUGCAUCUGUGACCUACACCACAGCUCAUGGCAACACUGGAUCCUUAACCCACUGAUCAAGGUUAGGGAUCAAACCUGUGUCCUCAUUGAUGCUAGUCAGAUUAGUUUCCGCUGAGCCACAAUGGGAACUGCUCUAUUGUUUUUGGAGUCUCUACCUUGUUGAUUUCCUCUCUGAUCUUUAUGACUUCCUUCCUUCUGCUGACUCUAGGUUUUGUUUGGUCUUCUUUUUCUAAUUCUUUUAGGUGGUACGUUAAGUUGCUUUGAGAUUUUUCUUCUUUUCUAAGGCCUGUAUCACUGUGAACUUCCCUCUAGGAACUGCUUUUGCAGCAUCCCAUAGAUUUUGAAUGAUUGUGUUUUCAUUAUCAUUUGUCUCAAGGUGUUUGUUUGAUUUCCUCAUUGACCCACUGGUUUUUUAAGCAUAUUGUUUAGUCUCUAUGUAGUCGGUUUUUUCUCAUUUCUUUUCCUGUGGUUCAUUUCUAGUUUCAUACCAUUGUGGUCAGAGAUAUGUGAAAUAAUUUCUAUACUCUCAAAUUUGUUUAGUUUUGUGCCCAAGUACAUAGUCAAUCCUUGAGAGUGUUCCAUGUGCACUUGAAAAGAAUGUAUAUUCUGAGUUUUUUUGAAAGUAAUGUACUGAAAUGUCAAUUAAGUCUAACUUUUCUAUUGUGUCAUUUAGGUUCUGUUGCCUUUUUGAUUACCUGUCUGUAGAAUCUGUCCAUGGAGGAGAAUGGGGCUGUUAAAGUCCCCUACUAUUACUGUAUUCCCAUCAAUUUCUCCUUUUCAGUAUUUGUUGUAUGUAUUUGGGUGUUCCUGUAUUAGGGACAUACAUGAUAAGUUUAACAUCUUCUUCUUGAAUUGAUCCUUUUAUCAUUAGUGUCCUUUUUUGUCUUUAUGAACUUUGUUUUAAAGUCUAUUUUGCUUGACAUGAGUAGUGCAACUCCUGCUUUUCUGCCUUUUCCAUUUGCAUGAAAUAUCUUUUAUUAUCCCAUCACUUUCAAUUUAUAUGUGUCCUUUGCCCUAAAGUGAGUCUCUUGUAGACAGCAUAUUGUGUGCUCUUGCUUUUUUAUCCAAUCUGCCACUCUAUGUUUUUUGACUGAAGCAUUCAGUCCACUGACAUUUAAAGUAAUUAUUGAUAAAUACGUAUUUAUAGCCAUUUUAAAUCCGUCUUCCAGUUGAGGCUAUGUUUUUCCUUUGUUCCUUUUUUUUUUUUUUUUGGUUGAUUUCCUUUUAUUUUAUACUUAUAUCCUCUUCUUAGUUUUUGAAAAUGUAACUUUUGGUUUUGAUUUAUGGGUGCCCUGUUUUUCAAAUAUGUUAAUCCCUUCCUAUAUAUGCUUCCUUCAGCCUGAUAGUCAUAUAGGCUCAAACACAUUCUUUAAAAAAAAGAAAAGAAAUGGGGGAGUUCCCAUUGUGGCUCAGCAGAAACGAAUCCAACUAGGAACCAUGAGGUUGCAGGUUUGAUCUCUGGCCUCGCUCAGUGGGUUAAGGAUUCAGCGUUGCCAUGAGCUGUGGUGAAUGUUGCAUAUGUGUCUCGGAUCUGGCACUGCUGUGACUCUGGCAUAAGCCAGCAACAAUAGCUCCAAUUAGACCCCUAGCCUGAGAAUCUCCAUAUGCC
rnacentral:lncRNA from 1 species